rnacentral:rRNA from 1 species
CCCUUAGAUGUCCGGGGCUGCACGCGCGCCACACUGAAGGAAUCAGCGUGCUAAAACCAUUGUCGAAAGGCAUUGGUAAACCCAUUAAAAUCCUACGUGAUUGGGAUCGGGAAUUGCAAUUAUUUCCCUUGAACGAGGAAUUCCCAGUAAGUGUGGGUCAUAAGCUCGCGUUGAUUACGUCCCUGCCCUUUGUACACACCGCCCGUCGCUGCCCGGGACUGAGCCGUUUCGAGAAAAGCGGGGACUGCUGCUGUCGGGGCUUUCGGGCCUUGGCUUCGGUGGAAACCGCUUUAAUCGCAGUGGCUUGAACCGGGCAAAAGUCGUAACA